GGCAUUCGGAGCUACUAUUGUAAGUUAGAGUGCGACAGCACGGACCUUUUACCAAGUAGGAAUCAGUUCAGCUAUUGAGGAAGGGUAGAGAUUGAUGGUACCUUCAAACGUAAACACUUGAAUGUCAAACAGCGGCAAUUAUGAAACACUAGGACUUUUAUCUGUGACACUUCAGCAUUCCCGCGGAAGUCCGUUAUAUAUGCGUCUGUUUCAAAAUGAACACAGUGGAGCAAUUUGCCUUGUACUGUACGAUGAUCUGCGCUUUUGCCGCCCCAACUGUCAGCAAGGAAGCAAGAACUCCACGUCCAUGUAAGCAAGUACCAGUGUGCGAAUACAAUUGGGAAAUCAUGUGCCUCUCCCAAAAUAGACAAUGAUAUCUCUAUUGUGAAGUCUGCCACCAGCACCACAUGGGAGGUCAAGAUACUGUGCCUAUAUAUAUCCGAUGGUUGGUUUUCAGCUGUGUAGCGCGGGCGAGAAAAAGAAAGGAACAUGCCAGCAGCAUUGGCGACUAACUUGUUCUGCCCCGACUGUUCCUUUUUGCAAGUCUCAUCAGUUACGUUGCAUCUGUCGUUGUGCAAGGGUAACCACUUUGUAGAAGAUUUACUCUACUCAAAAUUGUCAGAACAGGCUGGUGGCACGAGGGUAUAUAUGCAUCGUCAGUGAUAAUAAGAACCACUGGAGGAAUACAACAUAGAUUCUAAUCAUGGAACACUCGCGGAAGGCAACACCGCCGAAAUAAUUUAGGAGCAGCAAAGCAAAAAUAAAUUGA